GACGCUGGCGGCGUGCCUAAUACAUGCAAGUCGAACGGUCUUUCUAUGGAAGCUUGCUUCCACUGAGAAGAUAGUGGCGAACGGGUGAGUAACACGUGGGUAACCUGCCCAUAAGAGGGGGAUAACAUCCGGAAACGGGUGCUAAUACCGCAUAGUUUUCUUGGUCGCAUGAUCGGGAAAGGAAAGACGGCCUUUGUGCUGUCGCUUAUGGAUGGACCCGCGGCGUAUUAGUUAGUUGGUGGGGUAACGGCUCACCAAGACGAUGAUACGUAGCCGACCUGAGAGGGUGAUCGGCCACAUUGGGACUGAGACACGGCCCAAACUCCUACGGGAGGCAGCAGUAGGGAAUCUUCCGCAAUGGACGAAAGUCUGACGGAGCAACGCCGCGUGAGUGAAGAAAGGUUUUCGGAUCGUAAAACUCUGUUGUCAGAGAAGAACAAGUUGGAGAGUAACUGCUCCAGCCUUGACGGUAUCUGACCAGAGAGCCACGGCUAACUACGUGCCAGCCGCCGC
rnacentral:rRNA from 1 species